AUUACAUGUCGUUACCGUCUCUCCUCAGACUGCUGUUGGUGGUGGCAGUUUCUCAGACUUUGUUUGUUCCUAAUGACCUUAAAAGUUUUGAAGGGUACUGGUCAGGUAUUUUGUCAGAUGCCUCCAUACUGGGAUUUGUCCGGUGUUUUUAUCAAGGCUCCCUUCCUAAGAGGAGUUCUGCCAGAUAGAUCAGGAGAAACAGAGAAAACAGUAUCAUAGAAGCCAAGGAAGGAGAAUAUUUUGAGAAAAAAUUAUUCCCAUGUUAUAAGUAUUUGGUUCUAGAAGAAAUUUCAUACUGUAGCCAUAUUCUUAUGACUUAUAGUUUAAAAGUAGAAAGCUCACCCUGUUUCCACUCUUCUAUGAAGUCAGGGGGCCCCAUCCAUCAUCCUGUUAUUUUCCAGAGCAAGCACUUCCCUGCCAUGAAAUGCAGAAUACUGACAACAAGUUGAUUGUCUUAAUACCAGCAUAUAAUGUCACUCAGCGACUUCUAUAUGCUGAUUAUCUUUAUUUGCUAAUCAACAUACUAUUUCCUUUCAUUCACAAAAGUUUUUGAUGAAAGGAGAUUUUUAAAAAUGAUAUUUGAGUCUACAAAACCUGUGCAGAUCACGAUAUUUACAUUUCAGAAAUGCAACAUUAACAUAAAAAUUCAAUCUUCAUGUAUCUUUCUGUCAGGAUAAAAACUCAAAGGAAAAUUAUAACUCUCAAAGGAUAGCAAGGCACAGCAGUCUUUGAAGACCUCACAUAUAAAAAUCAAUGUAUGGAUUGCUUAUCAUUUCCUCCUACAUGAGAAAUACAACAUGCAUAGUGGUAUUCUUUUUUCAAUCUCUCUCUUUCCGAAGACAUUUGUGAAAGGAGGAAAAGUAGGAUGCAAAUAUCAAAAAAAUAGGAAAUUAUUUAAAACUUUUGGUUUGAUAUAUAUCUGUAAAGCAAAAAAAUACACAGAUUUCUAUGCAGUGGGAGUGCUAAGUAAGAAGUGGUUAAAAAAAUUUAGAAACACCAAAACUUGGAAUAAUCACAGUAACACAUGUAUUGCUAAAUUUAUGAGAUACAAGUAAGAUAAAUUUUAAAAUAAUAUGCCAUCUUACUAUAAGCCACAAACAUAUACUACCUUCAAUUCAUAGAAUUAUUUUUAGAAAAUACAAAGGAGCAUGGAGAAAAAAAAUUACCAAUAAUUCCCAUGCAGAGAAAAACACUAUUAGGAUUUCAUAUAUUUC
rnacentral:lncRNA from 1 species